UAUAAGGGAGUUUAAGUUUUUACUUGCAACGUUUGACCACUCGUCUUAUUUAAAUUUUUUUGAAAUUAUUAAUUAUUUUAUUUGUGACUUAAUUUAUUAUCUACAGUACUUUAAACACAACUUUUUAUUUUUUAUAUUUGCAGAAAAAAUUUGAAUAAAACGAGUGGUCAAACGUUGUAAGCAAAAACUGAAAAUCCCUUAUA
rnacentral:pre_miRNA from 1 species